rnacentral:tRNA from 1 species
AAGGGAGACCUAAUUCCGGUAGGAGACGAAAAAAAAGUAGUCCCAACCAAGAAUCAAUCCCAAAAGGUCGGAACGAGGUAUGAGGCUUUCAAACUAGGUUCUGGGUUCAUAAAAGACCUGAAUCAGGAACAAGGGCUAUUAGCUCAGGUGGUUAGAGCGCACCCCUGAUAAGGGUGAGGUCCCUGGUUCGAGUCCAGGAUGGCCCACCUGCACAGGUGGCAAAAACAAGAGAAGCUCCGAAUCAGCACCUUAUCUUAUAUACAUAUAUAAGAGAGAAUGCUGGCUCUGAGUACAGAGUCCAGAGGAACCUUGAAAACUGCAUAGAGCUAGGUGAAAAGGCCAAAAAAGAAGACCGCAA